CCUACGAGGGGCUGCAGUGAGGAAUAUUGGUCAAUGGACGAGAGUCUGAACCAGCCAAGUAGCGUGAAGGAUGACUGCCCUAUGGGUUGUAAACUUCUUUUAUAUGGGAAUAAAAUGUUCCACGUGUGGGAUUUUGUAUGUACCAUAUGAAUAAGGAUCGGCUAACUCCGUGCCAGCAGCCGCGGUAAUACGGAGGAUCCGAUCGUUAUCCGGAUUUAUUGGGUUUAAAGGGAGCGUAGGUGGAUUGUUAAGUCAGGUGUGAAAGUGUGCGGCUCAACCGUAAAAUUGCAGUUGAAGCUGGCAGUCUUGAGUACAGUAGAGGUGGGCGGAAUUCGUGGGGUAGCGGUGAAAUGCUUAGAUAUCACGAAGAACUCCGAUUGCGAAGGCAGUUCACUGGACUGCAACUGACACUGAGGCUCGAAAGUGUGGGUAUCAAACAGGAUUAGAUACCCCGGUAGUC
rnacentral:rRNA from 1 species